UACGUAGGUGGCAAGCGUUGUCCGGAAUUACUGGGUGUAAAGGGAGCGUAGGCGGGAAGACAAGUUGAAUGUUUAAACUAUCGGCUUAACCGGUAGUCGCGUUCAAAACUGUUUUUCUUGAGUGAAGUAGAGGCAGGCGGAAUUCCUAGUGUAGCGGUGAAAUGCGUAGAUAUUAGGAGGAACACCAGUGGCGAAGGCGGCCUGCUGGGCUUUAACUGACGCUGAGGCUCGAAAGCGUGGGUAGCAAACAGG
rnacentral:rRNA from 1 species